rnacentral:rRNA from 1 species
UAACCUACCCCAAGGAGGGGGAUAACAGGUCGAAAGGCCUGCUAAUACCGCAUAAAGCUUAUGUAUCGCAUGAUACAUAAGCCAAAGGAGGAAUCCGCCUUGGGAUGGGCCCGCGGCCCAUUAGCUAGUUGGUGAGGUAACGGCUCACCAAGGAGACGAUGGGUAGCCGGCCUGAGGGGGUGGUCGGCCACACUGGGACUGAGACACCGCCCAGACUCCUACGGGAGGCAGCAGUGGGGAAUAUUGCGCAAUGGGGGAAACCCUGACCCACCCACGCCGCGUGAACAAAGAAUGCCUUCGGGUUUGUAAAGCUCUGUCUUCCCUGACGAAGAAAGUGACGGUAAAGGAAGAGGAAGCCAACGGCUAACUACGUGCCAGCAGCCCGCGGUAAGAGGUAAGUGGCGAACGUUUGUCCGGAAAU